CAGAGGGAUGGAGCAGCUCUGCUGGGAGGAAAGCCCAGCCUGUAACCAGGGCCCAGAUUUGUUUGGACAAACAUCUGGAUGUUUUUCUGUUUGCAGUUGUGGUUCUGGGUGGAGCCCACAGGUGAGCAGUGUCCAAAAUCUUGGCUCUUUCCAGCCUGUCACUUUUUUCUGUCAUGUAUUUCCAAGCCACAUUUCACUGCAUUUACCCAAUAUCCUGUUGCUUUCCCAGCUGAGAGUUAAACUCCAAACCAUGCCAUGAGGAGAUGCUAACUGGGGUUAUCCAACAGGUUGGAAAUCAGGAGGAAUUUCUUCAUGGAGAGGGUGGUCGGGAAUUGGAAGGGGCUGCCCAGGGAGGUGGUGGAGGUGUCCAGGGAUGGGCUGGACGUGGCACUCAAUGCUCUGGGCUGGUGACAAGGUGGGGAUGGGUCACAGAUUUGAUUUGACAAUCCUGGAGCUCUUUUUCAACUUUCAAGAUUCUAUGAAUUGUAGUUAGGAAGAAUAAUAAUUACUGUAAUCUUAAGUUUAUUAGCAUUUUGAAUGGACUGGAAAAAUGCUGCAGUGAUCCUUGUAGUUUUGAUGCAGGUAACUAAUAAAAGUCAAGGUCUUUCAGGUGCUGCCAUCUCAGUCAGUAAAUCCUUCUCUGAAAUCAGUGCAGAUCUACCUUGGAGAGUCAGGGAAACAGGGGCAGAGAUGGAGCUCCUGGUGCUGCUGCUCUCCAACUAAAAGACAUUUCAGUGCCAGCUGCCAAACUGCUGUUGAAUUAAAUUAAAAUGAUUAAACACAAGAGUGGCCAAAGCACAGCCCUGCACGGCCUUCUGGUGUCUCCAGCUGUAUGAUGUGGAUUUUCUCUUGUGGGUUGACCCUAAAGGAAACAGAUUGUGUAGAAAAAGUGAAUGGGGCAGUCUGCCUCUGUCAGAGCUAUUGUUCCAGGCUCUCUGCAUGCUCAGGAAGGCAUCCCUUAGAGCAAAGUCAGGAGGGGUUUCUAUAAGUCCACAAAACUCUGAAAUGCAGCAGAUUUUAUUGAAUCCUUGGGUUCUGAUCUCAUAAGAAAUCUCGAGGAAUUGAA